rnacentral:misc_RNA from 1 species
GAUGAAGAAUGCAGCGAAAUGCGAUAAGUAAUGUGAAUUGCAGAAUUCAGUGAAUCAUCGAAUCUUUGAACGCACAUUGCGCCCGCCAGUAUUCUGGCGGGCAUGCCUGUUCGAGCGUCAUUUCAACCAUCAAGCCCCCGGCUUGUGUUGGGGACCUGCGGCUGCCGCAGGCCCUGAAAACCAGUGGCGGGCUCGCUGUCACACCGAGCGUAGUAGAUUUUCAUCUCGCUCAGGGCGUGCUGCGGGUUCCGGCCGUAAAAAGCCUUAUUUACCCAAGGUUGACCUCGGAUCAGGUAGGAAGACCCGCUGAACUUAAGCAUAUCAAUAAGCGGAGGA